rnacentral:rRNA from 1 species
GUGGCGCACGGGUGAGUACACGUGGAUGAUCUACCUCCUUGUGGGGAAUAACCCUGGGAAACCGGGGCUAAUACCGCAUACGUUCGAGAGAAGAAAGCCGAAAGGCGCAGGGAGAGGAGUCCGCGGUCGAUUAGCUAGUUGGUAGGGUAAUGGCCUACCAAGGCGACGAUCGAUAGCCGGCCUGAGAGGGCACACGGCCACACUGGCACUGAAAUACGGGCCAGACUCCUACGGGAGGCAGCAGUGGGGAAUCUUGCACAAUGGGGGAAACCCUGAUGCAGCGACGCCGCGUGAACGAUGAAGCCCUUCGGGGUGUAAAGUUCUUUCGACGGGGACGAUAAUGACGGUACCCGGAGAAGAAGCUGCGGCUAACUACGUGCCAGCAGCCGCGGUAAUACGUAGGCAGCAAGCGUUGUUCGGAAUUACUGGGCGUAAAGAGUGCGUAGGCGGUUAACUAAGUUUGGUGUGAAAUCUCCCGGCUUAACUGGGAGGGUGCGCCGAAAACUGGCUAGCUAGAGUGUGGGAGAGGAUAGUGGAAUUCCUGGUGUAGCGGUGAAAUGCGUAGA